rnacentral:rRNA from 1 species
UACAGAGGGUGCAAGCGUUAAUCGGAAUUACUGGGCGUAAAGCGCACGCAGGCGGUUGGUUAAGUCAGAUGUGAAAUCCCCGGGCUCAACCUGGGAAUUGCAUUUGAAACUGGCCAACUAGAGUACGUGAGAGGGGGGUAGAAUUCCAAGUGUAGCGGUGAAAUGCGUAGAGAUUUGGAGGAAUACCAGUGGCGAAGGCGGCCCCCUGGCACGAUACUGACGCUCAGGUGCGAAAGCGUGGGGAGCAAACAGG